UACGUAGGGUGCAAGCGUUGCCCGGAUUUAUUGGGCGUAAAGGGCGCGUAGGCGGCUCUGCACGUUCGUUGUGAAAUCGCCCGGCUCAACUGGGCGGGGUCAGCGGAUACGGCAGAGCUUGAGCAAGCUAGGGGGCAAUGGAAUUCCCGGUGUAGUGGUGGAAUGCGUAGAUAUCGGGAGGAACACCCGUGGCGAAGGCGGCCAGCUGGGAUACACCUGACGCUGAGACACGAAGGCGUGGGGAGCGAACAGG
rnacentral:rRNA from 1 species